ACGAACGCUGGCGGCGUGCCUAAUACAUGCAAGUAGAACGCUGAAGAGAGGAGCUUGCUCUUCUUGGAUGAGUUGCGAACGGGUGAGUAACGCGUAGGUAACCUGCCUGGUAGCGGGGGAUAACUAUUGGAAACGAUAGCUAAUACCGCAUGAAAUUGCUUAUCGCAUGAUAAUUGAUUGAAAGAUGCAAUUGCAUCACUACCAGAUGGACCUGCGUUGUAUUAGCUAGUUGGUGAGGUAACGGCUCACCAAGGCGACGAUACAUAGCCGACCGGAGAGGGUGGACGGCCACCCUGGGAGUGGGACACGGCCCAGACUCCUACGGGAGGCAGCAGUAGGGAAUCGUCGGCAAUGGGGGGAACCCUGACCGAGCAACGCCGCGGGAGUGAAGAAGGUUUUCGGAUCGUAAAGCUCUGUUGUAAGAGAAGAACGGGUGUGAGAGUGGAAAGUUCACACUGUGACGGUAUCUUACCAGAAAGGGACGGCUAACUACGUG
rnacentral:rRNA from 1 species